AGAUGGCCGACAUGGGCGUGACGGCCAGGUCGUCCGUCACCGUGUACGUCACGCCCCCCUGGACGUACCUCGUCGUCGCCGUGGCGGCGCCUUGCUCCGGUUGUGCCGGCGCCGGCGCCGCCACGUACUGGGACUGGGUCGCCAUCUCGUUCCUACAGGACAGGCACCGGGCGCCCCUCGCGUCCGACACUUACCCGCGGCAACCUUGGUAGUUGAAUUGGUUGGUGGUGCCGCACGUGAAGAAGGUCCUCGGUGCCGGUGCCGGCGGCGCCGGCAGGCAGAGGAGGGGGCUUGCCUCCACGGCGGGGCAGAGGAGGGCGUCCUUGCCGAAGCCGGGACGCAGGUAGCUGCCCUCGAGCCGCUCGACGCUGGAGUAGAGGUUGCCGAUGCUGCCUGCCAUGGACUCCUUCCCCAGCAGCCUCACGGCCGUGCCGGCUGGGAGGGUGAGGAGGGAGAAGAGGAAGUCGACGGCGUCCUUGCCGGCCUCGGUGAACACCACGCGCGGCCGCGGCGGCCUCGUGUCCACCAGGAGCUUCAUGGUGAUCGGCGCCGGUGUGUGGUAGCUGGCCGUGCAUUGUUCAUCACCAACAAUCGGAGCAGCCGCACCAUGACAUCCUACGCCGCGCGCACUCACUCGGAGCGCCUCAUCGGAGGACCAUGUCGUCAUGAACUCCAUCAAACACCAUCCUCGCUGUGUUCGCGCGAGAAGACGGGCUCCUCUCCGUGCUCAGGCGUGGACCUAGCCUCAUCGUGUGCGCGCGAGAAGACAGACUCCUCUCCGUGCACUUUGUGUAAAACCUGAGUUUGAGAUGAAACGGAAUCUAUUUUCAGGUGAGUAUGUUGGGAAGAUAUGAUGCAAGAGGAUAUUUGACAGCAACGUAUUUGAACAAACUACAAAAAGUAAGAAUUACAUGAGGUCAUGUCUUUUGUGUCAACAGUGAAGGAUGUUCUACAAUACGGCUACUCGGAAGUAGAGGGAAGAAGAUGCUUUGUAUCUCAUUUUAAUUUAAAUCCAUGUGAUAGAUCAAGUUUUGCGUGAACUUUUUGGCCAUGACUUGUUGGUCUUAGAUGUGUAGAGUCGACAGAUGAUGUAUAUUACAUUUUCUGUGAUACGUGGUGCAGAAAUGAAGAUGUAUUUCAUUUGUAAAUAUUAUAUUUUAGCUUGCAUUUCAUCA